GGAUGGGUACAGCUCAGAGGUAGAGCAUGGGCUUGGCAUACACGAGGUCCUGGGUUCAACCCCCAGUCCCUCCA
rnacentral:tRNA from 1 species